CUGGAGCUAUAUUAACGGUUGGUAAUAGGCUUGAUUUAGGCUCAGGCAAUUUUGGUUCAGGCCCAUAGCUCUCGG
rnacentral:tRNA from 1 species